GACGAACGCUGGCGGCGUGCCUAAUACAUGCAAGUAGAACGCUGAAGGAGGAGCUUGCUCUUCUGGAUGAGUUGCGAACGGGUGAGUAACGCGUAGGUAACCUGCCUGGUAGCGGGGGAUAACUAUUGGAAACGAUAGCUAAUACCGCAUAACAGUAGAUGUUGCAUGACAUUUGCUUAAAAGGUGCAAUUGCACCACUACCAGAUGGACCUGCGUUGUAUUAGCUAGUUGGUGGGGUAACGGCUCACCAAGGCGACGAUACAUAGCCGACCUGAGAGGGUGAUCGGCCACACUGGGACUGAGACACGGCCCAGACUCCUACGGGAGGCGGCAGUAGGGAAUCUUCGGCAAUGGACGGAAGUCUGACCGAGCAACGCCGCGUGAGUGAAGAAGGUUUUCGGAUCGUAAAGCUCUGUUGUAAGAGAAGAACGAGUGUGAGAGUGGAAAGUUCACACUGUGACGGUAUCUUACCAGAAAGGGACGGCUAACUACGUG
rnacentral:rRNA from 1 species